AUGAAUGGUGAGAAAAAGGUUCGUUGGAUUUCUUGGGAGAAGAUGUGCGCUUCAAAGAAGGAGGGGGUCCUUGGUUUUAGGAAUCCAGAGGGUUUCAACCAAGCGCUCUUGGCUAAGCAAGCAUGGAGGAUCCUCACUAAUCCCUCCUCUCUCUGUGCUAGGGUGUUGAAGGCAUGAUACUUCAAAGACGAAACAAUCUUGGGCACCACAUGCCCAUCCAAUUCGUCAUACACUUACAGAAGUAUUCUGCAUGGGAGGGACCUCCUUCGUGAGGGGUUGGUGUGGAGGGUGGGCGGCUCUAGGAUCAACAUACAUCAUGAUAACUGGAUCCCUCGGCAAGGCUACUUGAGACCACUAGGUCAACUAUAUGUACAAGGAUUGACAAAGGUUGCUGAUCUCUUGAAUCAUAAUGGGACGGGCUGGGGUCCGAAUAAGCUCUCUGCCAUGUUCUUCGAAUCGGAUGCUUAUGACAUUAUGCAAAUAGCUGUUGGUGGCCCGGGAACGGAGGACUAUCUCGCUUGGAAAUUCACCAAGAAUGGUGUCUUCCAUAUAAAAUCAGCAUAUCAUCAUUGUAUGUCGAAGAGGAAGGCGAGGGCGGGCCAUCAGGAGUCUUGA
rnacentral:rRNA from 1 species